UGGGGAAUCUUGGACAAUGGGGGCAACCCUGAUCCAGCCAUGCCGCGUGAGUGAUGAAGGCCUUAGGGUCGUAAAGCUCUUUCGCCUGUGAAGAUAAUGACGGUAGCAGGUAAAGAAACCCCGGCUAACUCCGUGCCAGCAGCCGCGGUAAUACGGAGGGGGUUAGCGUUGUUCGGAAUUACUGGGCGUAAAGCGCACGUAGGCGGACCAGAAAGUUGGGGGUGAAAUCCCGGGGGCUCAACCCCGGAACUGCCUCCAAAACUAUUGGUCUAGAGUUCGAGAGAGGUGAGUGGAAUUCCAAGUGUAGAGGUGAAAUUCGUAGAUAUUUGGAGGAACACCAGUGGCGAAGGCGGCUCACUGGCUCGAUACUGACGCUGAGGUGCGAAAGUGUGGGGAGCAAACAGGAUUAGAUACCCUGGUAGUCCACACCGUAAAACGAUGAAUGCCAGUCGUCGGGUAGCAUGCUAUUCGGUGACACACCUACGGAUUAAGCAUUCCGCCUGGGGAGUACGGUCG
rnacentral:rRNA from 1 species